rnacentral:piRNA from 1 species
UCUUGCAGCUUGCAAUGGAACUGAGGAUGU